rnacentral:rRNA from 1 species
GACGAACGCUGGCGGCGUGCUUAACACAUGCAAGUCGAACGGAAAGGUCCUGCUUGCAGGGUGCUCGAGUGGCGAACGGGUGAGUAACACGUGGGUGAUCUGCCCCUUACUUUGGGAUAAGCCUGGGAAACUGGGUCUAAUACUGGAUAGGACCAUGCUGUAGGUGGUGUGGUGGAAAGAUUAGUUUCGGUAAGGGAUGAGCUCGCGGCCUAUCAGCUUGUUGGUGGGGUAAUGGCCUACCAAGGCGUCGACGGGUAGCCGGCCUGAGAGGGUGGACGGCCACAUUGGGACUGAGAUACGGCCCAGACUCCUACGGGAGGCAGCAGUGGGGAAUAUUGCACAAUGGGCGCAAGCCUGAUGCAGCGACGCCGCGUGGGGGAUGACGGCCUUCGGGUUGUAAACUCCUUUCAGCCAUGACGAAGCCCUUGUGGUGACGGUAGUGGUAGAAGAAGCACCGGCUAACUACGUG